rnacentral:RNase_P_RNA from 1 species
GAAGCCCUCCAGGCCGUCGCUGGUGCGAUCACCGAAAGGUGGCACUGGAGGAACGUCCGGACUGCACAGGGCAGCGUAGCAGCUAACGGCUGCCCACCGUGAGGUGAGGAUCAGAGCAACAGAGACGAGUCGGUGGGCGGCGGCAACGCGGCACACCGGGUGAAACGGGCAAUCUCUACGCGCAGCAAUACCAAGUAGGCCGGCACGGGGUGGCGACACCCCAGCCUCUGUGUCCCGGAGGUUGUCGGCGGGUAGGUAGCACCGAGCCGGUGGGGCGACCCCCGGCCCAGAGGAAUGACGGUCACGCCCGCUUCGCAAGAGGCGGGCGCACAAAAUCCGGCGUAUCGGGGGGCUUCACAC